rnacentral:rRNA from 1 species
GGAUUAGAUACCCUGGUAGUCCACGCCGUAAACUAUGGAUGCUAGCCGUCGGGGAGCAUGCUCUUCGGUGGCGCAGCCAACGCAUUAAGCAUCCCGCCUGGGGAGUACGGUCGCAAGAUUAAAACUCAAAGGAAUUGACGGGGGCCCGCACAAGCGGUGGAGCAUGUGGUUUAAUUCGAGGCAACGCGAAGAACCUUACCAGCUCUUGACUUCCUGGUCGGGGCUCCAGAGACGGAGCUCUUCAAUUGGCCAGUGACAGGUGCUGCAUGGCUGUCGUCAGCUCGUGCCG